AGGAAAAAACUGAAGAAUUUCACAAAAGAAGUGUCACGACUCUAGACAUUAACUCUGAGACCAAGAGUUUUUGGAUUUACGUUUUUUUGUUUUUGGACUCUUUGUUUAUCGACUUUUUCUGUGUCUUCUUGUGUUUAGGUUUGUGUCCAAUUGUUUCAAUCUACUAAAUUUCUACUCCUUGCGUGUCUCUGCCUUAACUUCCUGUCUUUGUCCUGUCUCCUGCCCCUGUUAUUGCUCCUUUCACCUGUGAUCAAUCAACCCUGCUUCCCCUGUGUAUAUAAGUCUCUGUGCCUCCCUUUGUCAGUUCGUCGUCUUUCACCCUCUCGUCAUUCUUUCUAAGAACCUUAGCCUUAAUUAAAGGACACUGUUAUUCUACCUGGCAUCUGCAUUUUUGGGUCCACCUGCUCUCUACAUCGUGACAAGCAGGAAUUCAAAUAAUUGUGUUGGAGGUGGAAGCCAGAAAAAUCCCACGUUUUGUAGCGUGUCCUCCGGAGUGUUGAUGUUUUGGAGCCUGGGCUGGAAUAACUGAGGCACUGAAUGCUGUGUCCCCUGAGGUUCGGUCAGUGGCACAAGUAAAAAAAAAGGAUUUGACAUCAAAGUUGAUGCUAAAAUACGAUCGCAGAACAGAAGAAAAAUAAGGAACCAGGAGGAGGACAAGGAACAUCAGAUCUGACAGGAUGAGAGGCUGCAGCUAUUAUUGGACAGUCAUCAUUAAGUGGAAUUUGUUCAAGGAAUGAGGGAUGAGAUGACAUCCACCAAGAACCGUCACCCAGAGGCAUGGAUGACGCAGGAGCAGAGGCUGACGCGCAGAAGACCUCUCACUCCCAGUUGCUAGCGCCAAACGACCUCUCACUCCCCAGGCCUCCUUCCUGGAGUCUCGUCAGCAUGCCUGUGUCCUAACCGAUGAGAUUGUACAAAAUCAGCUGGCUCUCCUGGAUGCAGUGAAGGAAACUACGACAGGAAUAGAAAACAUUACUGAAACAGUUGAUGGAUGUCCUUGCAAAUAAAUAAGUGCACUGAA